rnacentral:rRNA from 1 species
CCCUUAGAUGUUCUGGGCCGCACGCGUGCUACACUGAGUGGAUCAGCGGGUCAGGUUGCGCGAAAGCGUUUCCUAAUCUUUAAAUCCGCUCGUGAUGGGGAUUGACGGUUGCAAUUUUCUGUCAUGAACGAGGAAUACCUUGUAAGCGCGGGUCAUCAUCCCGCGCUGAAUACGUCCCUGCCCUUUGUACACACCGCCCGUCGCUCCUACCGAUUGAAUUGUCCGAUGAAAUUUUUGGAUUGCGGGUUUUGUUUUACUGUUAGUUCGCUAGUAGUAACGCCUGUGAGAAGUUAAUUUAAUCUUACAAUUUAGAGGAAGGAGAAGUCGUAACA